GCAGAAAGUGAUGAAUCAGAGGCUGAAGUGAAGUUACAAAGUUAUACUCCUAUGCAAAGGAAGACUUGGCCUGUGACCAGCCUGAUUGACUGCAGGAGGGGACCAGUCAGAGUAUCUUACAGAGCAAGACUGCAGAUCAAGAUUUUCCAACGUGGUGCUGACUUUUUUGAGAACAGUUAAUGAGAACUAGGAAAGUCCUUGCAGACCAUCCAGUCCAGCGGCUUUCAAAUGGAAAAUGUGAAAGGACAACAGAAUCACAUGGAUUCUUUUCUGAACUGCUUUUUUCCAGUGAUGCCAUAUUCUAUAAGACUUCAUGUGAAGGUGUGGAGGACGGGUAAUGUCUGAAUCUUCCAGGCAAUGAGAGGGAUGGUGUGAGUCUGGAAAUUCUUUGUGAUGGUCUGAGACUCCCCUUACUCCAGUUAAGAACACUGACUUAAUUCGAUCUGGUUUUUUUUAACAAAUGGCCUCUGAGACGUAGAGCAGUGAGGAUAAGGACUCUUACCCGGUUACAGAGUGGAGUAAGGGCUAGAACUCAACUCUUAAAAAUUUCAAAUGCAAUGUUCUUUCUACAAUAUUGUGCCUACUUCUUCACUUCUGCUUAUAGGCAACUUCCUUUUCCUUUAAUUCUCUAAUAUUUGGAGGGCACGUCACAACUUAUACACUUGCUCUAUAUGUUUUACAUUGCUUCUCAUGGUUUCUCAUGCAUAAGUAUAGUAUUUUCUUAUAUUUUAAAUUUUCUAAGAACAGGUAACCUAUUUUAAACUCCCCUUGCAAUUAUGCAGGUAACUAACACAUUGAUGAUAAGCUAAUAUUAAGAGAGCAAAAUAGUUGAUGAUUAGUUUAUUAGUAUCUCAAAAUAAUCCAUUUGAUGUGCUAAGGUGCUAUUAGUUACAACAUUUCAAGUAUACAUGCAAUUCUUGUUAGAAAUAUUAUCCACCUUUUGAAAUACAUGUUGAUUAAAGACUAACAUGGGCUGUGGGCAUAGGUACAGUAACAGCAUACCAUAGGCCGGAGAAAGAGUUGACUUUGGAGGUCCAAGAUCAAGAAGCAGGAUGUCUAACAGGGCUCUUGAGAAUUCUAGGGCAGCCGGUACUCGAAAGGCAAGAUUUGAUUGUGAAUGAUUUCAUGCAACUCCGUUGGUUAAUAAGCAAAUCCUGCCCACACUUGUGGAUAACAUGGAAGCUACCUGAGCAGGUAAAGGCUAAGACAGAAGAUCCAUGAACAGAACUGGAGUUUUGAUAAUUCACCAGGAACUUGGUUACUUUGUUGUACCUUUUAUGCUUUUAUAUUUCUUCUUCCCUUUCAUUUCCAUGCAAUGUAUUUAUAACUUGUAGCUAGAUUUUUAGAUUACUGCCAGACAAAUUCAGUCAAUUUAAUUAAUUAGGCAAAUUAAAGUGAAAAUUAUGUUUUAGGGGCUGUUAAAAUUUAUAAGACAUUAGCACAUUCUUCUCAUGUGCUUUUAUUAUUAUUACAAAUGUUGUUUCAUAAUUAGCCAUGUGUUAAUUGUUAGCUUGGGGAAUGAUUUACGUGUUUAAAAUUGGGAGAAAUCAUUUUGGCUAUGGCUACCUCUUUUAAUUUACUUACAUAUUUUUUUCCCAUCACACAGUGUUUGACUUUUACAACCACAUACAUUUUGAUUAGAACCUGAAAUAAUUCAGUAAAACAAGAUGAUGGUUUUUUGUUCUGCUCAAUCUUUGUAUCAUAACCUUCACUUCUCAAUGCUCAAAUGAUGGAAUGAAAAGUGGACAAUUCUUGACUGCA
rnacentral:lncRNA from 1 species